UACGUAGGGCGCAAGCGUUGUCCGGAAUUAUUGGGCGUAAAGAGCUCGUAGGCGGCUUGUCACGUCGGGUGUGAAAGCCCGGGGCUUAACCCCGGGUCUGCAUUCGAUACGGGCUAGCUAGAGUGUGGUAGGGGAGAUCGGAAUUCCUGGUGUAGCGGUGAAAUGCGCAGAUAUCAGGAGGAACACCGGUGGCGAAGGCGGAUCUCUGGGCCAUAACUGACGCUGAGGAGCGAAAGCAUGGGGAGCGAACAGG
rnacentral:rRNA from 1 species